rnacentral:lncRNA from 1 species
CUACCCUAAGAAGCUUGUGCCACACACACCUGCCUGAUCCCCAAGGAACCUGGGCCCCAAGGGCAUCUUCAGCAAGUCGGCCGAACUCUUGUACUUCUGAUGGGCCAGAUGCUAAGCUCUUCCCAACCAACUCACCCCAGAGCCAUAUCAAGUCACAAGAGCUGUG